AUGAUAUCAAGGAUCUCAAGCCUCUUAAUGAUAGGGUUCUGAUAAAGAUUGCUGAAGCUGAGGAGAAAACUGCCGGUGGCUUGCUGUUGACAAGUGCAACCAAGGAAAAGCCUUCUAUUGGAAGGGUGAUUGCCGCUGGGCCUGGGCCAUUGGAUGAGGAGGGAAAGAGGAAGCCAUUGUCUCUGACCCCAGAGAGCACAGUAUUGUACUCCAAGUAUGCAGGUAGUGAAUUUAAGGGAACAGACGGCUCUGAGUACAUUGUUUUGAGAGCUUCUGAUGUGAUUGCCGUGCUCCCUUCCUAGUAUCCAUGUUAUAUCUUAGACGAAAUUUGUUAGAACACAGAUUUUGAGGAGAGUUUGUUGAGGAUGUGUUUCCUUGUCUGUAAGCG
rnacentral:misc_RNA from 1 species